rnacentral:rRNA from 1 species
UGCGCAGGCGGAACGAUCAGUCAGUGGUGAAAUCCUACGGCUCAACUGUAGAAUUGCCAUUGAAACUGUCGCUCUUGAGUAUAGUUGAAGUGGGCGGAAUGUGUCAUGUAGCGGUGAAAUGCAUAGAGAUGACACAGAACACCAAUCGCGAAGGCAGCUCACUAAACUAUAACUGACGCUCAGGCACGAAAGCGUGGGUAGCGAACAGGAUUAGAUACCCUGGUAGUCC